rnacentral:rRNA from 1 species
GGACUACAAGGGUUUCUAAUCCUGUUUGCUCCCCACGCUUUCGCGCCUCAGCGUCAGUAAUGGGCCAGUGAGUCGCCUUCGCCACUGGUGUUCUUCCGAAUAUCUACGAAUUUCACCUCUACACUCGGAGUUCCACUCACCUCUCCCAUACUCAAGAUGCCCAGUAUCAAAGGCAGUUCCAAGGUUGAGCCCUGGGCUUUCACCUCUGACUUAAGCAUCCGCCUACGCGCCCUUUACGCCCAGUAAUUCCGAGCAACGCUAGCCCCCUUCGUAUUACCGCGGCGGCUGGCAC